CGAGGUUCUUGUAGGUGCUCAGAAAUGGCCGGGCCUGUGAGAAGAGGGUGGCGAACCACCGCAGCAAGUCAACUUGCCUCCUGCUCUGCUCCCACAUGCAGAAAUACCUUCCAGGUUGCAACUAAACCAAGAAGCAGGAAGAUGGGGAGUGAUAAACAGGGCACUGGCUGCGUGGGCAUGAGCCUUGCUACUGAAGUGAAAACAGUCAGGAGCAAAUGCUUGCUGCGUUUCCAUUAUUCGGAGCCAGGACCCGGUCUGGAGGGGGAAGUCAGGCUUCCACACCCGGAACAUUAGUGCAGUCACUUCAGAAGACACCAGGACACCUUCUGUUUUCCACAGUCAGCCAGUCCCCAGGCUGGGAAUAUGUCAGCUCUGACCUCCAGGGGGAGACUCUUCCAGUUACAGACAGAGCCUUGAGGCAGGCAGAAGAACCAUGAACCACACAGCAGUUCCCAGCUUACCUGAUACUGCUUAUUCACUUCGACGAGGGAGGCAAGUUCUGUCGCAUUAUCAUCAUACUUCAAGACACAGGGACACAGACUCCUGCAGACCAAACCACAGAGGUG